CAUGAUACUGGAGCCAGAUGGGAGACCUUGAUUCAAAUCCCAGAUCAACCUGAAUACCCCAGGUGCGUUGUGUGUGCCCGUGAUCCUGGCUGGCUGUGCGGCUUGGGAGGACCACAAUGUAAGGAAAGGAAGCUUCAUUCCAGAAUCACUAUUCUACCCAAGGGUUCUUCUGAAGCAGUGAUAACAUCAUACAGCCACACAUUAUAAAGACUUUGAAUUCUUCUUCUCCAAGAGGCUCAAUUUGUCAUUCCUUUCCUGUCUGUAGUCCUGCUGGGGGAGGAAAUACCUCACCACAAGUUUGUUACCACCUUCACGAGUUUAGGAGUUGGGAUUUAAGGUUCGUCUCAGGGCAGAGAGCUUUCGCCUUGAAAUCCAAGCUUCAUCUUUUUCCAUUUUCCCCAUCAUAGGUAAUGUUAUCCUCCACAGGAACUCUAUCAUUUCCUCUGCUCCAGCCACUUUUAUUUUCCAAGAGACAUUCAUUCUCGUUCAUUCUCAUCAGUUUCUGUUGUCUAGCCCAGAAUAUAAGCGUUGGUUGGAGAAUACUGGGGGCUGGCUAGCCUGCUUGUUAUUUAAUGUCAGCCUAAUACUGAAGGCUGGCUAGCCUGCUUGUUUUUUUUCUUCUUUUUGGAGAGGUUUUU